rnacentral:misc_RNA from 1 species
UUUCUUCUCUAUUACACUAUAUCAUUUUAUGCUGGUAGUUUACCAUCUUGGUCAUUUCAUAUAUGCCGUUAUUUGUAAGCAUUUAUCUUGCUGUGGAUUGAGGGUUCGGGCUAGAAUUUAAUUUGGUGGCUUCUGACCUGUAACUUCUCCUGUUAUGUUUAACUUUGAAAUGCUUUCAAACAAUUUGGCUUGUGAGCUAUAAAUUAAUCUGACUUUUUUCGUUCUGGGUCUGAUUACUGAGCCGGGAGGGAAAAUAAAGAAAGAAUCUCAGCACCGAUUAAGCUCAUUUUUACUACUGCUUCCGUUGGUACAGCCAGAGAGGAACUUAAACAUUGUCUCCCGAUCUAUUGUUUCAAGAUGGAAUUGAACUGCUAGGACAAUUUGAAUAAUUACGUUCAUCAUUCAAAUGGUAAAAUUCCAUUGCAAAAUGCAGAGCCUAAUUCUAGAAUGCUCUACUUAAUAUUUUCCAAUAAAUGUUGUAUUUGAAAUUUUAGAUUUGAUUAAAAAUAAGGAGUAACCACCACCCUCUUGUUAGAGUUUAAAUGUGAGGUGUGAGAAAGUGGUAAAAAAUUGUGGAAUAAAACUGUUGUGUGGAUAAAUGGUGCAUAAGAUCAUGUGAGGUGCUUGCUUUAGCAGUAUUAUGCUGCAAAUUUAUUGUUUUUGAUAACUUGUAUCAUUGAAUCAGCAUGUUCAAUCUAAUGCUCAUUACGAGCGAAUGUUCACUUCUCUCAUUUAAAGUGGAAUUAGGGUUUAAAAAUAGAAUGAAAUAUCUUUAGUUUUUCUAAGUGGUAAUUUGGGCUUGGGUGCAGGUGAGUUUGAGCGAGUAGCAAGACACACAUCAAAUGUAAAAGUGCACACAUAUGGCACACAGUUUGUUAUUACUGGAUUCAACUAUUUGUUUUUGUGCCACUGGUGCUGAAAUUUGCAUAUUUUGUUAUGUAUAAAGGUACAGGUGAUUUGGGCGAGCGACCCAGUUUCACAACGGAGGGGAGGAG